GACGAACGCUGGCGGCGUGCUUAACACAUGCAAGUCGAACGGAAAGGCCCUGCUUUUGUGGGGUGCUCGAGUGGCGAACGGGUGAGUAACACGUGAGUAACCUGCCCUUGACUUUGGGAUAACUUCAGGAAACUGGGGCUAAUACCGGAUAGGAGCUCCUGCUGCAUGGUGGGGGUUGGAAAGUUUCGGCGGUUGGGGAUGGACUCGCGGCUUAUCAGCUUGUUGGUGGGGUAGUGGCUUACCAAGGCUUUGACGGGUAGCCGGCCUGAGAGGGUGACCGGCCACAUUGGGACUGAGAUACGGCCCAGACUCCUACGGGAGGCAGCAGUGGGGAAUACUGCACAAUGGGCUGAAGCCUGAUGCAGCAACGCCGCGUGCGGGAUGACGGCCUUCGGGUUGUAAACCGCUUUCGCCUGUGACGAAGCGUGAGUGACGGUAAUGGGUAAAGAAGCACCGGCUAACUACGUG
rnacentral:rRNA from 1 species